rnacentral:lncRNA from 1 species
ACAAUGCAAUUUUCGCUGAAAAUGCAUUGUUUCGGAUUUUACAAGCUCUUAGAAACUUUCUAAUCAAUUACAACUUGAAAAUAUGAUUCUAAGAUCUAUAAAUAAGUAUGAAUCACCAUAAACAAGAUUUAAAGCUUACCUAAGCAUCGUGAUUCAAGUUUUGCGUGUUUUGCGUCCUUUCUGAUUCUUCGAAGUCUUGGAUUCUUCGAUCUUCAAUACUCCGCUCCGGACUUCUUCAAGACUCCGACUCGACCCACGAAACUUGCCAACACAUAGGA